AUUAAAUGAGAGUUUGAUCCUGGCUCAGGACGAACGCUGGCGGCGUGCCUAAUACAUGCAAGU
rnacentral:rRNA from 1 species